rnacentral:lncRNA from 1 species
CUCUUCUUGAACCCACUGAAGGAUGAGAACCUUACUUCAUUCCGAGAGAGCUGCUUCCAUUUUCAGAAAGUUCUACAGAGAAUUACAGUUAUUCAGUGCUGUACUGCUGGGCAAGAAGAGUCUCUCUUUGCCUCUCUCAGUGCAGUUUUUCUUGACCUGUUUAGUUCCCAGAACUGCAAAUUCUGUAUGUUCCAACAGAGGUAAGCCACUUCGAGGACAUGUGUCAGUCUCCAAGUGUACCAACCCCCAAAGAUGGAUUUGUCUUCAAGAAACUUUCUUGCAAACCUGGGUUCCAGCACAUGCAGAGGAGAUUCUGGUUUCCCUCUCUGAGCUCCUGCUUCAUGGUGCCACAUAUUGGCUCUCCUGCAUGUUUGUGAGAUAG